ensembl:lncRNA
AUGAAGGGCUGUCUUGGACUCACCACCUCAGGGCCCAAACAGAGAAGCUCUGGGGAGGGGCCACCAAAAUCCUGAGAAAGUGUUAGUUGCUCAGUGGUAUCCGAUUCUUUGGGCCUCCAUGGAUUGCAGCCUGCCAGGCUCCUCUGUUCAUGGGAUUCUUCAGGCAAGAACACUGGAGUAGGUAGCUAUUCCCUUCUCUAGGGGAUCUUCCCAACCCGGGGAUCAAACCCAGGUCUUCUUUACUGUCUGAACCACCUGGGAAGCCCUAAAUCCAGAGACCUCAGGACUUAGCCUGUUAACCUUACCAGGUGGUCAAGUGCCUCAGUAAGCGGGUUUGUUCAGACAGGCGAGAAUACUCAAAGAUGCAAAUAAUGGUAGAGGCUUUUCUCUUGGUACCCAGAGUCAGCUAGGCAGAGAGUGAAGCCAAGUGGAAUGGACAGGCCGGCAGCCCCAUGCACAGCCUUCUCCCUCCCCCCAUCCUAUUUCUUGGCUAUCAUCUGCUCUCUUAGGGGUACCCAGAUUCCCACCCUUCCACUCUGGCCUGGCACCAAUGUGUUCUUUUCACAUAUUUGCUUUUGCAUAUUUGAAAGGAACAAGCGGUCAAUCUUCUGACUUUCCUCUAAUUCCCACUUUGUGCAUGCCAAGUCACUUCAGUUAUGUCAGACUCUUUGCAACCCUACGGACCGCAGCCCACCAGGCUCCUCUGUUCAUGGGGUUCCCCAGGCAAGAAUACUGGAGUGGGUUGCCAUACCCUCCUCCAGGGGAUCUUCCAGACCCAGGGAUUGAAUCUGCGUUUCUUAUGUCUUCUGCAUUGGCAGGCGGGUUCUUUACCCCUAGUGCCACCUGGAAGUCCCAAUUCUCACUUUAUAGCCUAUUUAAGCAAAUACAUUUGUGUCCCAUCUAAGUCACAACCCAUGGGCGCUGUGGGGGACAUAGCAUUUGAUCAGCCUCUAUUCAGUGCUCCCUGUACUUCCAUUCUGGUGUCUCUUUGACCAUAAAGUCCUGGAAGGGUGCACUUAUCACCGCUUCUCUGCCGAUGAGAAGCAGAAUUUCAUGGGAAGUUCGGGCAGCAUCCUCUAGGUGGUCCAGGGUGGUGAUGUGAACCUGCUCGGUCAGGGAAGACUUUAGCUCACAACUUUUAGCAUGAAGAAUCUUGGCUUUUGGCCCUCAUUUUAGACCCUUCACCCACUGAGAUGAGAUGGUUCAGUUAGGCUUUCUUGGCAGCAUUUCCUCUCCCAGCUUAUACGUUUCCCCACUUCCCUGGGUACACCCUGGUCCUUGUUCAAGAACUGUUAGGCUGUAUCCUGUUUCAAUAAGAUAAGUUACCUUAUUAUCUCCCAUCCAAAUUCCCCAUGGCCAGCUGCUCAAGACUCUGGGAUUAUGCAAACAAUGCUGACUUCUGUUCUCAGUUGCUGAUCUUUUUUUUUUUUUUAAAGAAACUUUUUUUUUUCCAUGAAAACAAGAGGCAGUUUUCACAGGUGGAGUGCUGCGGCCUUUCUCUUCUAAGAUCUGCAUCUGCCAGAGUCUGACAAUGCUGUCUGGGGAGCUCGGGGGCCGGUGCCAUUCCAAAUGGCUUCACGAAGCUUUCACUUGAGGAGGGGGACCGGCACUGGCCAGCACACUGCAACCAGUGUGAAAACCCAUGCAGCUGGCUCUUUAUAACAGCCCCGAACUGGAAGCAACCCAAAUGUCCAUCAGCUGUAGAAUGGAGAAAUCAAUGGUGGUGCAUUCACACAAUGGAAUACCCUCCGGCACAAAGAGAGCCAGCCGCCUCUCAGCUCUCAAUACAUGGAUGAGCCUCACAGACAUGCCGUGUGUGGAAGAAGGCAGGCACACAAGAGAACACGCCGCAGGAUCCCAUUUACAAGAAGCACAAAUGCAGGCAUGUGGGAUCCCAUCUCCCCAACCAGGGAUCGAACUGGCACCCCCUGCAUUGGAAGAUUAAGUGUUAACCACUGGACGGACAGGGAAGUCCCUUUGUAGUGAGAUGUUAACCCCUCAGAACGUGUCCCUGACAAAAACGUCACAUUCACCAUAAAAAGCCCGGGAGCCUGGCAUGCUGCAGUCCACGGGGUCACAAAAAGUCAGACACGACUUAGCAAUUGAACAACAAUACAAUGUUUGAUUUUCUCUUUCUGACUUACUUCACUCUGUAUGACAGUCUCUAGGUGCACCCAAGUCUCAGCAAAUGGCACAAUUUCACUCCUUUAUUUGAAAUCAAGUUGGUUUUUUUUUUUUUUUUUUAAGGGAGAAAAACAGUGAAAGCAUUGAAAAACUAAGUCACUUGUCCUGAAAACCCAGAAGGAUGAUGGGGCUGCUUGAGGGGCCUGGUUUACCAGACACACCAACCGCAGAGGCAGGAGGGAUGGGAGCUGGACAGCUUCCCUGACAACGCAGGCUCUGGAGCCACGCUCAUCUUUAAUGCACGGCUGUGCUGUGUGCUCCUGACAUCUCAAGCGGGGAUGCGGGAGUCUGGGAUGCUCUCCCAGCCACUCUUGGCUCCCUGUGAGCAAUACCCUUCACAUCUCAUUAGACCUGCCUGCGUCCAUCUGGACCCUGUCAAUCUUGAUCCCGAGCAGGUGGGAGGGAGUAGGUGAGUGGAGGGAGGUGUAUGAGGCUCUGGAAAGAAGCAGGGCUGCCUGAGCCCCAAGACCAAAGUGGGUAAGAGUUUGGGCUUAAAUGAAAUGAAAUUGGAUCUGAGCUCCUCUACUAACUGUGUCAUUUUUGGCAAGUUAUUCAACCUCUCUGUAUCCCAGUUUCCUUAUUCAUAAAAUAGGGGCCACUAAAACUUACUGCACAAUUGGCUUUUAGGGGACUUGCCUAGGGGUCCAGUGGUUAAGACUCGCUUUCACUACAGGGGCGCAGGUUCAAACCCUGGUGGGGGGAACUAUGAUCCCUCAUGACAUCCAGCUUAAAAAAAAAAGAGGAAACUCAUUAAGAUGUAUGUGUUACAUG